rnacentral:lncRNA from 1 species
UAGCCCCUUACCCUUAGGGAAGCCCCUUGAUCUGAUGGGGGGAAUUUUUCUUUCUUUGAGUUUGGGCCUAAUGCCUUUGCUGUUGUAUAUUGAUGUGAGUUUGGGCCUAAUGCCUUUUCUAUCAUAUAUCGAGGGGAUCUUGUUCCUGAUUUGGUGCCAUUCACCUAUGGUCUUUGCCUGCGGCUUAGGUUCACUCAUCCUUGCAUCUAAGGUAAGUAAGGCUCCUUCGUUUCAAGUCCUAUCUUAAAGUCAAGUAUUGGUC